AUUGAACGCUGGCGGCAUGCCUUACACAUGCAAGUCGAACGGUAACAGGUCUUCGGAUGCUGACGAGUGGCGAACGGGUGAGUAAUACAUCGGAACGUGCCCGAUCGUGGGGGAUAACGGAGCGAAAGCUUUGCUAAUACCGCAUACGAUCUACGGAUGAAAGCAGGGGACCGCAAGGCCUUGCGCGGACGGAGCGGCCGAUGGCAGAUUAGGUUGUUGGUGGGAUAAAAGCUUACCAAGCCGACGAUCUGUAGCUGGUCUGAGAGGACGACCAGCCACGCUGGGACUGAGACACGGCCCAGACUCCUACGGGAGGCAGCAGUGGGGAAUUUUGGACAAUGGGCGAAAGCCUGAUCCAGCCAUGCCGCGUGCAGGAUGAAGGCCUUCGGGUUGUAAACUGCUUUUGUACGGAACGAAAAGCCUCUUUCUAAUAAAGAGAGGUCAUGACGGUACCGUAAGAAUAAGCACCGGCUAACUACGUGCCAGCCGCCGCAGUAAAAC
rnacentral:rRNA from 1 species